GACGAACGCUGGCGGCGCGCCUAACACAUGCAAGUCGAACGGAGUUAUUUCAGCAGAAGCUUUCGGGUGGACGCAGGGAUAACUUAGUGGCGAACGGGUGAGUAACACGUGAGGAACCUGCCCUGGAGUGGGGGAUAACAGUUGGAAACGACUGCUAAUACCGCAUACGAUCUGAGGAUGAAAGCGGGGGACCUUCGGGCCUCGCGCGAUUGGAGCGGCCGAUGGCAGAUUAGGUAGUUGGUGGGAUAAAAGCUUACCAAGCCGACGAUCUGUAGCUGGUCUGAGAGGACGACCAGCCACACUGGGACUGAGACACGGCCCAG
rnacentral:rRNA from 1 species